GCCCGCACAAGCGGCGGAGCAUGUGGAUUAAUUCGAUGCAACGCGAAGAACCUUACUUGGGUUUGACAUGCACAGGACGACUGCAGAGAUGUGGUUUCCCUUGUGGCCUGUGUGCAGGUGGUGCAUGGCUGUCGUCAGCUCGUGUCGUGAGAUGUUGGGUUAAGUCCCGCAACGAGCGCAACCCUUGUCCUAUGCUGCCAGCGGGUUAUGCCGGGGACUCGUAGGAGACUGCCGGGGUCAACUCGGAGGAAGG
rnacentral:rRNA from 1 species